rfam:Prevotella sp. CAG:755 genomic scaffold, scf63
GGUGCACCGACGCCAGAAACUGCGUGUUAAUAGUCUUUCCCGUUUGGCCCGGGAAGACGGUUAGUGAAUC